rnacentral:rRNA from 1 species
GACGAACGCUGGCGGCGUGCUUAACACAUGCAAGUCGAGCGGUAAGGCCCUUUCGGGGGUACGACGAGCGGCGAACGGGUGAGUAACACGUGGGUGACCUGCCCUCAGCUCUGGGAUAAGCCUGGGAAACUGGGUCUAAUACCGGAUAUGACUCCAUGACGCAUGUUGUGGGGUGGAAAGCCUUGUGCGGCUGAGGAUGGGCCCGCGGCCUAUCAGCUUGUUGGUGGGGUGANGGCCUACCAAGGCGACGACGGGUAGCCGGCCUGAGAGGGCGACCGGCCACACUGGGACUGAGACACGGCCCAGACUCCUACGGGAGGCAGCAGUGGGGAAUCUUGCGCAAUGGGCGAAAGCCUGACGCAGCGACGCCGCGUGAGGGAUGAC